UACGUAGGGUGCAAGCGUUAAUCGGAAUUACUGGGCGUAAAGCGUGCGCAGGCGGUUUGUUAAGUCUGCUGUGAAAUCCCCGAGCUCAACUUGGGAAUUGCAGUGGAUACUGGCAGGCUGGAGUAUGGUAGAGGAAGGUGGAAUUCCCGGUGUAGCAGUGUAAUGCGUAGAGAUCGGGAGGAACACCAGUGGCGAAGGCGGCCUUCUGGACCAAUACUGACGCUCAUGCACGAAAGCGUGGGGAGCAAACAGG
rnacentral:rRNA from 1 species